rnacentral:rRNA from 1 species
UACGGAGGGUGCGAGCGUUAAUCGGAAUUACUGGGCGUAAAGCGCGCGUAUGCGGUUUUAUAAGUCGGAUGUGAAAUCCCCGAGCUCAACUUGGGAACUGCAUUCGAUACUGUCUAACUAGAGUAUGGUAGAGGAAAGUGGAAUUCCCGGUGUAGCGGUGAAAUGCGUAGAUAUCGGGAGGAACAUCAGUGGCGAAGGCGGCUUUCUGGACCAAUACUGACGCUGAGGCGCGAAAGCGUGGGUAGCAAACAGG